CUACGUGCCAGCAGCCGCGGUAAUACGGAGGGUGCGAGCGUUAAUCGGAAUAACUGGGCGUAAAGGGCACGCAGGCGGUGACUUAAGUGAGGUGUGAAAGCCCCGGGCUUAACCUGGGAAUUGCAUUUCAUACUGGGUCGCUAGAGUACUUUAGGGAGGGGUAGAAUUCCACGUGUAGCGGUGAAAUGCGUAGAGAUGUGGAGGAACACCGAUGGCGAAGGCAGGUCUCUGGGCUGUAACUGACGCUGAGAAGCGAAAGCAUGGGGAGCGAACAGGAUUAGAUACCCUGGUAGUCCAUGCCGUAAACGUUGGGCACUAGGUGUGGGGGACAUUCCACGUUUUCCGCGCCGUAGCUAACGCAUUAAGUGCCCCGCCUGGGGAGUACGGCCGCAAGGCUAAAACUCAAAGAAAUUGACGGGGGCCCGCACAAGCGGCGGAGCAUGCGGAUUAAUUCGAUGCAACGCGAAGAACCUUACCAAGGCUU
rnacentral:rRNA from 1 species